GAUGAACGCUGGCGGUAUGCUUAACACAUGCAAGUCGAACGGACUCUUCGGAGUUAGUGGCGGACGGGUGAGUAACGCGUGAGAAUCUGGCUUUGGGUUCGGGACAACCACUGGAAACGGUGGCUAAUACCGGAUGUGCCGAGAGGUAAAAGAGAAAUUGCCUGAAGAUGAGCUCGCGUCUGAUUAGCUAGUUGGUGAGGUAAAGGCUCACCAAGGCAGCGAUCAGUAGCUGGUCUGAGAGGAUGACCAGCCACACUGGGACUGAGACACGGCCCAGACUCCUACGGGAGGCAGCAGUGGGGAAUUUUCCGCAAUGGGCGAAAGCCUGACGGAGCAAUACCGCGUGAGGGAAGAAGGCUCUUGGGUUGUAGACCUCUUUUCUUAGGGAAGAACAAAAUGACGGUACCUAAGGAAUCAGCAUCGGCUAACUCCGUG
rnacentral:rRNA from 1 species